rnacentral:tRNA from 1 species
GCCGAAGUGGCGGAACGGCAGACGCGCUGCGUUCAGGGCGCAGUGGGGUUUAUCCCCGUGUGAGUUCAAAUCUCACCUUCGGCACCA